rnacentral:rRNA from 1 species
UGGCGAACGGGUGAGUAACACGUGGGUGAUCCGCCCUGCACUCUGGGAUAAGCCUGGGAAACUGGGUCUAAUACCGGAUAGGACCAUGCUUUAGUGUGUGUGGUGGAAAGUUUUUUCGGUGUAGGAUGAGCCCGCGGCCUAUCAGCUUGUUGGUGGGGUAAUGGCCUACCAAGGCGGCGACGGGUAGCCGGACUGAGAGGUUGGUCGGCCACAUUGGGACUGAGAUACGGCCCAG